rnacentral:lncRNA from 1 species
UUUGAAUUGAGGUGUGACAAUUUGUGUCACACCAAGCUUGAUGAACUUCAUGAUUUUAUUUAAAAUGCUUAGGGAUGUUGAAUUGAGCUGAAAUUUUGCAUGAAUGAACAUAUGUAUGUUGAGAUCACAUGAGAUGUUUUCUGGAAUUUUUGCUUGCAUUUCCUAAUUGAUUGUGAUUUUCUCUUCUGUUGGCUCAUUUUGU